UUUGGAAUUUCCGAAAUGGCCGCCGUUGCCAUGGAAACUGCAAAAAUGUGAAAAAUUGAAAAAAUGCUCAAAACUGUCUAAAAAAUUUACAAACAAUUAUGUUGUAAUGUAUUUAUGUGUAAAUACUGUUUUAAUUUUCAAAAUGGCUGCAGUUUAGUGGCAAUGUGGGAAGGGUGCCAUCCGCUAUUGCUUGCAAUGGCAAAUCUAGUUAUGGCACCCUCAACGGAGUUGGGGUGACGUAUUGUUAUUCUACGUUUCUUUUUUUUUCUUAUUUUUCUUUUUCUUCUUCCACACAUUUUGUCCGUCGUGUUUCUCGGAAUCCAAUAGACCAUUGUUGAUGGAACUUUACUAUAAUGAGGACCCCAUGUAAAGUUGUGCACCUUG
rnacentral:lncRNA from 1 species